rnacentral:rRNA from 1 species
UACAGAGGGUGCGAGCGUUAAUCGGAAUUACUGGGCGUAAAGGGUGCGUAGGUGGUUUUGUAAGUUAGAUGUGAAAUUCCUGGGCUUAACCUGGGGACUGCGUCUGAUACUGCGAAGCUAGAGUACUGUAGAGGAAAGUGGAAUUUCCGGUGUAGCAGUGAAAUGCGUAGAUAUCGGAAGGAACAUCAGUGGCGAAGGCGACUUUCUGGACAGAUACUGACACUGAGGCACGAAAGCGUGGGGAGCAAACAGG